CCUACGGGUGGCAGCAGUGGGGAAUAUUGCACAAUGGGGGAAACCCUGAAGCAGCGACGCCGCGUGAGUGAAGAAGGAUUUCGGUAUGUAAAGCUCUAUCAGCAGGGAAGAAAAUGACGGUACCUGAUUAAGAAGCCCCGGCUAACUACGUGCCAGCAGCCGCGGUAAUACGUAGGGGGCAGGCGUUAUCCGGAUUUACUGGGUGUAAAGGGAGCGUAGGCGGCAGCACCAGUCUGGAGUGAAAUGCCGGGGCUUAACCCGGGAACGGCUUUGGAAACUGUGCAGCUAGAGUGCAGGAGAGGUAGGUGGAAUUCGUAGUGUAGCGGUGAAAUGCGUAGAUAUUAGGAGGAACCCCGGUGGCGAAGGCAGCUUACUGGACUGUAACUGACGUUGAGGCUCGAAGGCGUGGGGAGCAAACAGGAUUAGAUACCCCAGUAGUC
rnacentral:rRNA from 1 species